CUGAUGAGCAACAGCUUCCCCUUCUUUCUUUGUAGGAGGAACAUCUCGUUCUCAACAGUAGUAAACUGUUCAAACUGCUGAGGCUCAUGAACAACACACUGAAGAUGAGGAGCGUCUUUGUCUUCAUAUUCCUACUGGAUGUUUCUCCUCUGAAAGGGCAGCAGCAGAGAAUAGAGGAGUCUGAGAACAUUCUGCUGAGGUUUUACUUUCCUUCGUUCUACAACAGCUACAUGAAGUUUUGCUGUAAACUGUAUCCAGGUGGAUGUUACAAGCUGCUGGACAAUGAGGGCUACACAUGUGAUCAGCUCAAAGGGAGAGUGACAAGAACUGAGCAGGACGGCUGUGUGGAAUUCAAAAUAUGGAACGUAAGAUCCUCAGAUGGUGGCUUUUACAGAUGUCUCGUACUGGGACCUCAAAACCCUAUCUUCCACGAUUACUAUGUCGAGGUAUUUGAAUCGUCACAUGACCACAGGAAGUCUCAGCCGUUUCUGACAUCAACCACAACGUUCCCAGUCUCUACGAGGCCCGUUCAGGCUCAGG
rnacentral:lncRNA from 1 species